rnacentral:miRNA from 1 species
ACGCAUUCCAGCCAAUCAGCAGCAGACCCUCCCUCCCAGACCCUCCCACCUCCUGGACAGCUCACUAAGAAUGCAGCUUCACAAUGAAUGUAAAAUGGAUGCUGUCCAGGAGGUGGGAGGGUCUGGGAGGGAGGGUUUGCUGCUGAUUGGCUGGAAUGUGUCU